ensembl:lncRNA
UUAACCCUCUGAUGGUCAUCGUCAAAAUAGGGACCCUUUUGGGUCCCCUUGGAUUUUUGAUUCUCAAUAUAUCAGUCAUUUUAAAGACUAGUUGCAUGAAACUUGGCUAGGAGUUGCAUUUUAGCAUUAUUUUUAAAAUUCAUUGAUCCCCUCUAUGGUGUUGUGUAUAGUAAAGGAGAUUCACAUAAGUGUUACCGUCUGUGGUCCUCGUACCAUUUUGGGUCCCAUUGACUCCCAUUAUAAUCACAUAUUUUCGAUAUACUGUAAUCCUGACAUGUGAUAAUUUUUUUCUCGUGAAUACCUAAUGGAUCUAAGCCUCAGGCUUCAAAAUAAAGGAAAAAUAUGUUUCGGAUCCAAUGAGCACAAUAUUAGGUACAGCACCACCAUAGACAUUUUCAGUGGUUUUGAAUGCAGGACAUGGUUAUCUUAUUAUGCAAAAUACAUGACAAUAAAACAGCUGACCACCAUAAAAUAGUCUCGAUGUAGUGGAACUGAUAUAAGAGAGUGGUGUGAAUGUGAUUGAGAAUAUAUUUAUAAUAUAUAUUACGGGUUUCCCCCCCCACCCCCCACCCCCAAAAUAAAUAAAUAAAAAAUAAACAGGGGUCUUUAUGACAAUAAAGCUAUAAAAACAUAAAAAAUAUUUACAAAUUUAUGAAAAACUUUAUAUCUGUGGAUAGGUCUGAAGUUGUUUAAAAGAUCUGAUGUGAAAAAAAAUGAAAAAACAAUUCAUAAAAUUCAUUGCUAUAUCACCUUUUGGAUGGGGACCAUUUUGGGUCCCGAGGGAUACCAAUGGAAGUAUAUUGCAAAAACUCUUAUUGCUCCAAAAAUAAUAAUGCAUCCAAAUCAAUUCUAUUCUGAAUUCUUUACCUAUCCAAGGCUCUAAUAACCUCAUGCCAAGUAGUUCCAUUUGCAACUCAUUUUUUGAAAAUAUUGCAUAUUAUGGUUUUUUACCCCCCAAAAUAAAAAAUAAACAGGGGUCUUUAUGACAAUAAAGCCAUAAAAACCUAAAAAAUAUGAAAAAAAUUAUGAAAAACUUUAUAUCAGUGGAUAGGUCUGAAGUUGUUUAAAAGAUCUGGUGUGAAAAAAACUGGAAAAAAAAUUCAUAAAAUCCAUUGCUAUAUCACCUUUUGGAUGGGGACCAUUUUGGGUCCCGAGGACCAUAAAAGGGUGUAAAUUUGAAAAACUCUUAUUGCUCCAAAAAUAAUAAUGCAUCCAAAUCAAUUCUAUUCUGAAUUCUUUACCUAUCCAAGGCUCUAAUAACCUCAUGCCAAGUAGUUCCAUUUGCAACUCAUUUUUUGAAAAUAUUGCAUAUUAUGGUUUUUUACCCCCCAAAGAAAAUAAACAGGGGUCUUUAUGACAAUAAAGCCAUAAAAACAUAAAAAAUAUUGAGAAAAUUAUGAAAAACUUUAUAUCAGUGGAUAGGUCUGAAGUUGUUUAAAAGAUCUGGUGUGAAAAAAACUGGAAAAAAAAUUCAUAAAAUCCAUUGCUAUAUCACCUUUUGGAUGGGGACCAUUUUGGGUCCCGAGGACCAUAAAAGGGUGUAAAUUUGAAAAACUCUUAUUGCUCCAAAAAUAAUAAUGCAUCCAAAUCAAUUCUAUUCUGAAUUCUUUACCUAUCCAAGGCUCUAAUAACCUCAUGCCAAGUAGUUCCAUUUGCAACUCAUUUUUUGAAAAUAUUGCAUAUUAUGGUUUUUUACCCCCCAAAAUAAAAAAUAAACAGGGGUCUUUAUGACAAUAACGCCAUAAAAACCUAAAAAAAUGUAAAAGAAAAUUAUGAAAAACUUUAUAUCAGUGGAUAGGUCUGAAGUUGUUUAAAAGAUCUGAUGUGAAAAAAAAUGAAAAAUUAAUUCAUAUAUGAUAUUGCUAUAUCACCUUUUGGAUGGGGACCCCUUUGGGUCCCAAGGGAUACCAAUGGAUGUAUACUGUAAAAACUCUUAUUGCUCCAAAAAUAAUAAUGCAGCCAAAUCAAUUCUGUUAUGAAUUCUUUACCUAUCCAAGGCUCUAAUAACCUCAUGCCAAGUAGUUCCAUUUGCAACUCAUUUUUUAAAAAUAUUGCAUAUUAUGGUUUUUUACCCCCAAAAAAACAGGGGUUUUUAUGACAAUAAAGCCAUAAAAACCUAAAAAAUAUGAAAAAAAUUAUGAAAAACUUUAUAUCAGUGGAUAGGUCUGAAGUUGUUUAAAAGAUCUGAUGUGAAAAAAAAUGAAAAAAAAAUUCAUAAAAUCCAUUGCUAUAUCACCUUUUGGAUGGGGACCAUUUUGGGUCCCGAGGACCAUAAAAGGGUGUAAAUUUGAAAAACUCUUAUUGCUCCAAAAAUAAUAAAGUAUCCAAAUCAAUUCUGUU